UCAAUUUUCCAGAAAAUUUAUAAAAUCAUUUUAUAAAAUCACAAUUUCUCCUAAAACGUAGCAAUUUACCAUUUAAACCCAUUUUCUAUAAAAUCACACAAUUGUAUAAAACUACUCUAGAUAAUUAAGACGAUAAUAAGUUUACUCACAGUAUUAGGAGUAGAAACACUCCUAUUUUCAGUCCGCGGGUAAAGUCCUUUACCCGUAUCCAAUGGCUCACCACCUAACCAUAAUCCAUGACACAUAUUCCAAUUAAAUUGUGUCUAACAGUCAAGCUAUUUCAAGCUUGAUAUAUAUGCAUGAUAUGAAAUGAAAAAUGCACAAGUAGCCAUCUAGACCCGGUAUUGGCCUAAGUCAAUUUUUCAUCUGAUAAAUUGGCCAAUGCGUCCAAUUUCACUCCAACUUGCUCCAUUUCUUUUCCAAUCCCUCAAUUCACCAAGCACAACUAAUUAACACACAAUUAGGCAAAAUUUAUCUUCACUUUUCUUCUUGGAACUUUCGGCCAACAAUGGUACCCUAACUUCGUGAUUUUUCCUACUUCAUUUUCUCUCCAUAAUUCAUUAAUUCGUACACCAAAAACUAUUAUUUCUUAAUCAAAUCACCUAGAAUAACAUCCCAUUCUUCCUCAUUAUUCACUUAGAGAAUUCGGCUAUUGAUGGGUUCCAAACCUUUGGUGGUUUUUUUCACUUGUUUUCAUGCUACACAUCAUUAAUCAACUAAAAACACUAACAUACCUAAAAAUCAAACCAAUCCAAGAUCAUUCUCUCUCCAUACCCAUUUUGACCAGCCAUGAAUUCAUCAUGAAAACAUGUAAUUUAACCAUGGAAAUUAAGGGAAAAUGCAUGGGUAAGGUAAAUCACUAGCAAAAUCAAAGAAAUUUUACCUUUGCUUGAUCAAAUCCUUGAAUUCUAACACUUUCUCUUUGAUUUUUCCCACCUAGGGUUUGUUCUUCCUUGGUUUCUCUUCUCUUAUAGUUUGGC
rnacentral:lncRNA from 1 species